GACGAACGCUGGCGGCGUGCCUAAUACAUGCAAGUCGAGCGGACUUUCAAGAAGCUUGCUUUUUGAAAGUUAGCGGCGGACGGGUGAGUAACACGUGGGCAACCUGCCUGCAAGACGGGGAUAACUCCGGGAAACCGGGGCUAAUACCGGAUAAUAUCUUCCUUCGCAUGAAGGAAGGUUGAAAGGCGGCGCAAGCUGCCGCUUGCAGAUGGUCCCGCGGCGCAUUAGCUUGUUGGUGAGGUAACGGCUCACCAAGGCGACGAUGCGUAGCCGACCUGAGAGGGUGGACGGCCAAACGGGGACUGGGACACGGCCAAGACCCCCAAGGGAGGGAACAGUGGGGAAUCUUCCGAAAAGGACGAAAGGCUGACGGAGCAACGCCGGGGGAGGGAAGAAGGUCUUCGGAUCGUAAAGAUCUGUUGACAGGGAAAAAAAAGAACCGUAAGAAAAGGGGGGUACCUUGGCGGUACCUAACCAGAAAGCCACGGCUAACUACGUG
rnacentral:rRNA from 1 species